rnacentral:rRNA from 1 species
UGCAGUCGAACGAUGAUCCGGUGCUUGCACCGGGGAUUAGUGGCGAACGGGUGAGUAACACGUGAGUAACCUGCCCUUAACUCUGGGAUAAGCCUGGGAAACUGGGUCUAAUACCGGAUAUGACUCCUCAUCGCAUGGUGGGGGGUGGAAAGCUUUUUGUGGUUUUGGAUGGACUCGCGGCCUAUCAGCUUGUUGGUGAGGUAAUGGCUCACCAAGGCGACGACGGGUAGCCGGCCUGAGAGGGUGACCGGCCACACUGGGACUGAGACACGGCCCAGACUCCUACGGGAGGCAGCAGUGGGGAAUAUUGCACAAUGGGCGCAAGCCUGAUGCAGCGACGCCGCGUGAGGGAUGACGGCCUUCGGGUUGUAAACCUCUUUCAGUAGGGAAGAAGCGAAAGUGACGGUACCUGCAGAAGAAGCGCCGGCUAACUACGUGCCAGCAGCCGCGGUAAUACGUAGGGCGCAAGCGUUAUCCGGAAUUAUUGGGCGUAAAGAGCUCGUAGGCGGUUUGUCGCGUCUGCCGUGAAAGUCCGGGGCUCAACUCCGGAUCUGCGGUGGGUACGGGCAGACUAGAGUGAUGUAGGGGAGACUGGAAUUCCUGGUGUAGCGGUGAAAUGCGCAGAUAUCAGGAGGAACACCGAUGGCGAAGGCAGGUCUCUGGGCAUUAACUGACGCUGAGGAGCGAAAGCAUGGGGAGCGAACAGGAUUAGAUACCCUGGUAGUCCAUGCCGUAAACGUUGGGCACUAGGUGUGGGGGACAUUCCACGUUUUCCGCGCCGUAGCUAACGCAUUAAGUG